AGCUUCUCUCCCUUUCCCCUUACCCCCACACCCACCCCCACUCCCUUCUACUCCAAUCCAUGGAGAUGGAUUGUCCCUGCCCAGCCAAACACAGCCCAAAGAAAGACGUCACGGGCAAAAGCUGUUACCGUGGUGACCGCAAAAUACGGUCUGGGCUGUGGGGAACAACACACUGGACCACGGGAUCCGCCAACACGGACUCACCUCACAAGCUCUAUCGAUUCCGUGAAGUCGAUUCUGAUGCCUGAAUUGGAGAAACCCGCACGUUUGCAGGCUCUGAAAAGAAGUGCGCUUGCGCCAACGUCUCUGGACUACGUUUCCCAGAGGUCUUCGGACUUCCAAAAUUCAGUCUCUCUGAGAUCUCUCCUAAGUUUCAGAUGAUGAGACCAGAAGUGAAUAUGAAAAGUUGACCUCAAACCUGAAAAACCAUGAAGAAAUGGAAACAAUCAAGGAAACAUCUGGGAAACUUAAUAAAGGAAUUCCCACAGGUUCUGAGUCUGAAGAAAUCUGUUAACAGCAGGAGUGCAAAAUAGAAGAUGAUCUCUGUGGAUAUCCUCCAGGGAAUAAACAGUCUAAAUGUGAUGAAAAUAGAAUAAACUUCACUAAGGGCACAGAUGUUAUUGAAAAUAAGAGAAUAUGUUAUUUAUGGAGAGAAACUUUUUCAGUGUGACUAGUGUGGGAAAACCUUUUAGUUAAAACUCUUAGCUUAUUGAACAUCAAAGAAUCAAUACAGACCCUACGAAUGUGAAGAAUGUGGAAAAAGUUUUUUGUGGGAGAAUUGUGCUUAUUCGACAUAGAAUAAUCCAUAAGAAGAAAAAGCCCUAUAAAUGUAAUGAGUGUGGGAAAGCUUUUGGUCAGUGGUCGACCCUAACUCAACAUUAGAGAUUUCAUACUGGAGAGAAACAUUAUCAUUAUAAUGAAUGUGGGAAAAGCCAUUAGUCAGAAAGCAGUUUUUUUCAUCACCUCAAAAUCCACACUAGAGACAAACCCCCAUCAUUAUAGUCAGUGUAAUAAAAGUUUUAGUCGCUGUUCAAUUCUUGUUCAAUAUCAAGGAGU
rnacentral:lncRNA from 1 species